rnacentral:rRNA from 1 species
AGAGUUUGAUUAUGGCUCAGGAUGAACGCUAGCGAUAGGCCUAACACAUGCAAGUCGAGGGGCAGCACAUGAAGUAGCAAUACGGAUGGUGGCGACCGGCGCACGGGUGAGUAACGCGUAUGCAACCUGCCUACAACAGGGGAAUAACCCGUUGAAAGACGGACUAAUACCCCAUAACACAGGGAUCCCGCAUGGGAAUAUUUGUUAAAGAUUUAUCGGUUGUAGAUGGGCAUGCGUUCCAUUAGCUGGUUGGUGAGGUAACGGCUCACCAAGGCAACGAUGGAUAGGGGAACUGAGAGGUUUAUCCCCCACACUGGUACUGAGACACGGACCAGACUCCUACGGGAGGCAGCAGUGAGGAAUAUUGGUCAAUGGACGCAAGUCUGAACCAGCCACGUCGCGUGAAGGAAGACGGCCCUACGGGUUGUAAACUUCUUUUGUAAGGGAAUAAAGUGCAGUACGUGUACUGUUUUGCAUGUACCUUACGAAUAAGGAUCGGCUAACUCCGUGCCAGCAGCCGCGGUAAUACGGGGGAUCCGAGCGUUAUCCGGAUUUAUUGGGUUUAAAGGGUGCGCAGGCGGGAGAUUAAGUCGGCGGUGAAAUUUUGCAGCUCAACUGUAAAAGUGCCUUCGAAACUGGUUUUCUUGAGUGUGGAUGAAGUAGGCGGAAUUUGUGGUGUAGCGGUGAAAUGCAUAGAUAUCACGAGGAACUCCGAUUGCGCAGGCAGCUUACUAAACCAUACUGACGCUCAAGGCACGAAAGCGUGGGGAUCAAACAGGAUUAGAUACCCUGGUAGUC